UGCCCUGGACAGAGACAAGAAAGAAAGCACUGUAAAUAGAGAGCAUCUAGCAGGAGUUUGAGUGUGUAGCAUCAGUUAUCGCACCACGACUUUUUAUUUUAGAGGGCUGCGCUAGAUUAUGCUCAGUGUGGAAUAAUACGAACAAGAAAAUAAGAUAUUCGACCAAUUUUCUGAGCAAGGUUGAGAAAUAAGACGCCACCAAGUGUCAAAGAAAGAAGGAAAAAUACAAGAGUAAUCCCUUAUCUAUGAUGUUCUCUAUCAACUUGCACAUCAAAUGCUUGGAUCCUUCAAAGUUUUGAUGAAGAUUCCUGUAGGAUAAUAACAAGAUCCAUUUCGAGUGCAAUGCAGUAAACCUGC